rnacentral:rRNA from 1 species
UUUUAGUCUAUUCAGAGGAAUUUGCCCUAUAAUCGAUAAUCCUCGUUUUAUCUUACUUUUAUUUGUUGUUCAGUUUGUAUACCGCCGUUAUAAGUUUAUUUUUAUAGGAGUUUUUAAUUUACUUAAAAUAUUAUUUUAUUUUAUUUCAGGUCAAGGUGCAGUUAAUAUAAAAGUUGAGGUGAAUUACAAUAUUAUCUGUGUAAAUGGAUUUUUUUAUUUAAAAUUUAAUUGAAGGUGGAUUUGAUAGUAAAGUUGUUUAUAAUCAUUAUUUGAUUUUAGCUCUAAAAUAAGUACACAUCGCCCGUCGCUCUA